CCUCAUCCAAUGUUUCUUCUUUUUCUUGCACAAUUUCCAUCUUAUCUUCACUUUCCGGAGGCUCCUCAGGGACAAUCUCACCAGCAUUGGUCUUCUCCUCCUCAUCCUUUGUUUCUUCUUUUUCUUGCACAAUUUCCAUCUUAUCUUCACUUUCCGGAGGCUCCUCAGGGACAAUCUCACCAGCAUUGGUCUUCUCCUCCUCAUCCUUUGUUUCUUCUUUUUCUUGCACAAUUUCCAUCUUAUCUUCACUUUCCGGAGGCUCCUCAGGGACAAUCUCACCAGCAUUGGUCUUCUCCUCCUCAUCCUUUGUUUCUUCUUUUUCUUGCACAAUUUCCAUCUUAUCUUCACUUUCCGGAGGCUCCUCAGGGACAAUCUCACAAGCAUUGGUCUUCUCCUCCUCAUCCUUUGUUUCUUCUUUUUCUUGCACAAUUUCCAUCUUAUCUUCACUUACCAGAGGCUCCUCGGGGACAAUCUCACCAUCACUGAUCUUCUCCUUCUCAUCCUUUGUUUC
rnacentral:lncRNA from 1 species